rnacentral:misc_RNA from 1 species
UGGUUCUGGCAUCGAUGAAGAACGCAGCGAAAUGCGAUAAGUAGUGUGAAUUGCAGAAUUCAGUGAAUCAUCGAAUCUUUGAACGCACAUUGCGCCCUUUGGUAUUCCUUGGGGCAUGCCUGUUCGAGCGUCAUUUAACCCCUCAAGCUUUGCUUGGUGUUGGGCGUCCUGUCCCGCCUUAUGGUGUGGACUCGCCUAGAAAAGAUUGGCGGCCCGUGUACCGGCUUCGAGCGCAGCACAUUUGCGCCCCUUGCAUGUUGUACACGCUGGCGUCCAGCAAGUCUCUCACCCCAAUUUGACCUCGGAUCAGGUAGGGAUACCCGCUGA